rnacentral:rRNA from 1 species
GUUCUUUUGUUUAUAUAAAAGAUUUGACCUGCUCUAUGAUUUUUAUUAAAUGGCUGCAGUAUUCUGACUGUACAAAGGUAGCAUAAUCAUUUGUCUUUUAAUUGAGGUCUGGAAUGAAUGGUUUGAUGAAAAAUUAUCUUUCUUUUUUUUAUAAAAAAAAUUUAAUUUUUAAGUAAAAAAGCUUAAAUUUUAUUAUAGGACGAGAAGACCCUAUAGAACUUUAUUUUCUAUUUUUAUAUUAUAUUCAGAUAAUAAAAUUAAUAUAUUAAAAUUAAAUUAUGUUGGGGUGACAUUAAAAAUUAUUUAACUUUUACUUUUUUUUUCAUAUUUUGUUGAUUUAUUUGAUCCUUUAUUAAGGAGAAUAAGAUUAAGUUACCUUAGGGAUAACAGCGUUAUUAUUUUGGAGAGUUCAUAUCGAUGAAAUAGUUUGCGACCUCGAUGUUGGAUUAUAAUAAGAGAUAGGAGUAGAAUAUUAUAUUUCUAGGUCUG